UUGUAGUCUGCAACCCGACUACAUGAAGCUGGAAUCGCUAGUAAUCGCGAAUCAGCAUGUCGCGGUGAAUACGUUCCCGGGUCUUGUACACACCGCCCGUCACACCAUGGGAGUCGGAAAUGCCCGAAGUCUGUGACCCAACCAUUAAGGAGGGAGCAGCCGAAGGCAGGUCGGAUGACUGGGGUGAAGUCGUAACAAGGUAAC
rnacentral:rRNA from 1 species